GUGCUGGUCCCGUAGGGCCAGCACUAUAAAAGAGCCGUGGAUUUUGCCGUGCUGGUCCUGUAGGGCCGGCAGUGAAGGAGCUGUGGGGUUUCGCCACCGGCAUGACAGCUGCAGCCGAGGGGGUGAAGAAGAGCACUCUGAGAGGAGGCAGAGCCUCGAGCAGGCAGAGACACAGACCUCUGGGCUCUGGAGAUUUGAGUGCUUCGUACAUGAACUUCCUGGCUCAGAGAGGCAUCGCUUUCUGAAACUCCUGGCGCUGGCUGUUGUACCUGUCCACGCACUCCGUGGUGUGACCCCAGGAGCCUACCUGCGAGUGCUGCUUUGAUCAUUUCUGUUCAGGCUCUGUGUGCUGCUUGCUGCAGUUCUCAGAUUGUUCAGUGCUGUUGCUCAGAGGACCGCCCCCACUCUGAAAUGCAUUUCCUGGGGGAGUUACGCCUGAAGUGGGGAAGCGUGGUCUGUAGGUGGACGGCAAGGCUUUGGGAGCUGGUUGGAGCUGCAGCCAUUGUCCAGUGGCUGGGCUCGUACCAGUAGGCAUGUUUCUCCUGUCUCUGUUGAAGACCUGAGAGAACUUCCUUAGCGUA